GAUGAACGCUAGCGGCAGGCUUAAUACAUGCAAGUCGAACGGGAUUGAGAAGCUUGCUUUUCAUGAGAGUGGCGCACGGGUGCGUAACACGUAUGCAACCUACCUUGUCCAGGGGGAUAGCCCGUUGAAAGACGGAUUAAGACCGCAUAACAUUGAGCUGUGGCAUCACAAACCAAUCAAAUAUUUAUAGGGACAAGAUGGGCAUGCGCCUGAUUAGGUAGUUGGCGGGGUAAUGGCCCACCAAGCCGACGAUCAGUAGGGGAUCUGAGAGGAUGCCCCCCCACACUGGUACUGAGACACGGACCAGACUCCUACGGGAGGCAGCAGUAAGGAAUAUUGGUCAAUGGGCGAAAGCCUGAACCAGCCAUGCCGCGUGCAGGAAGACGGCCCUACGGGUUGUAAACUGCUUUUAUACGGGAAUAACCCCGGUUUCGUGAAACCGGCUGAAUGUACCGUAAGAAUAAGGAUCGGCUAACUCCGUGCCAGCCGCCGCCGUAA
rnacentral:rRNA from 1 species